GAAUGGAGCGGCCGAUGUCUGAUUAUGUAGUUGGGGGGGUAAAGGCUCACCAAGCCGACGAUCUGUAGCUGGUCUGAGAGGACGACCCCCCACACUGGGACUGAGACACGGUCCCCACUCCUACGGGAGGCAGCAGUGGGGAAUUUUGGACAAUGGGCGCAAGCCUGAUCCCCCCAUUCCGCGUGCGGGAUGAAGGCCUUCGGGUUGUAAACUGCUUUUGUACGGAACGAAAAGGU
rnacentral:rRNA from 1 species